rnacentral:rRNA from 1 species
GACGAACGCUGGCGGCGUGCUUAACACAUGCAAGUCGAACGGAAAGGCCCUGCUUGCAGGGUGCUCGAGUGGCGAACGGGUGAGUAACACGUGGGUGAUCUGCCCCUUAUUUUGGGGUAAGCCUGGGAAACUGGGUCUAAUACUGGAUAGGACCAUGCUGUAGGGGGUGUGGUGGAAAGAUUAGUUUCGGUAGGGGGUGAGCUCGCGGCCUAUCAGCUUGUUGGUGGGGUAAUGGCCUACCAAGGCGUCGACGGGUAGCCGGCCUGAGAGGGUGGACGGCCACAUUGAGACUGAGACACGGCCCAGAAGCCUACGGGAGGCAGCAGUGGGGAAUAUUGCAAAAUGGGCGCAAGCCUGAUGCAGCGACGCCGCGUGGGGGAUGACGGCCUUCGGGUUGUAAACAACUUCCAGCCAUGACGAAGCCCUUGUGGUGACGGUAGUGGUAGAAGAAGCACCGGCUAACUACGUG